CAGAGGUUAAACCGGACCAAACAAGAAUUACCCGCUGCCACCACCGAGACAACUUGGCGGAGCAAUCAAAACUGGAAGGGGAGGUGUGUGCCAAACAUCCAUUCACACAUUCACACACAUUCCCCGGGCCCGACGAGGAUGAUGAAUACUGCAUGUAAUUGUAAAGAAGAGAAACCAAGGAUGAGCUGAGCCAAACACAAAUCGGCCCAUGGUGGAAAGGAAGCCAAAGGGAUGGAAUCAUGCAGACUGCAGUCAACGGAUGCUAAUGAGGCGCCAGUGCUGGCUGCAAGUGAUGCUGACAUCUGCUGGAGUGGUGUCAUGACAAGCCAGCCGAGGCCAUUGAUUUGAAAAAUGGGCCAAAAAAAAGAAAUCUGGACUUUUACAACAGGUAAAAUCGCU